ACAUUUGUGCUUUGCUAUUUGUUUACAUACCGCAGGUUAUGUCGCCAUUGUAAUAUUGAUCACUAUUAUCGUGAGCUUUCCUCGUAUCGUGCAGACCCAGUUUGGACGCCAUCAGAACUCCUGCAGCGCGUUUGCAGCGUCAUUCUCCAGCGACAGCACCUGACGGUGCUAUGUUUCCAAAGUUCAAGUAUCUGAACUUUAGCAGAAUUUCGUGUCACAUUAACCAAUCAGGAACUUUUGGAAGUAUUGGUCUACAACAGGUCGAUGAUGUCAUCAGCGGGUGGAGUCCACAAUCUAGAUCAGGUCAUCAAACUGGGUCACAGAGAGACAGAAGCACCGCAGCUCCUGCAGAGGAGGGUGAAGCUCACCGCACUGGGACAGUCUCUGAGUUAUCUUACAAUAAAUAAUCCUGAACUUUU